CCGCCCGGCCCUGCCGCCAUCGCUGAGGGAGCCGCGGCCGUGAGGGCACAGCCCCCUCAGCCCCGGUAGCGACCCCUCGGCAACGGCCCCUCGGCUCCUUCCCGGCGUCACAGACGUCCCUGGGCGCAAGGCAGGGCUCUGAAGAGGUCACAGAAUCCCAGAGGAGUUGGGGUUGGAGGGACCUCUGGAGAUCGUCCAGUUCAACCCCCUGCCCAGGCAGGGGCACCUGGAGCAGGAGUUCCUGGCUACCUGCUCUGCAGGUGGAUGUCCACAGGGAUGAAGGUCACCGAGGGCUGCUGGGCCAGGCUGUGGCUGCUGUGCCCCACAGGAGGUGGCACUGCCAGCUUGGAGGCUUUGGGUUGCAGCUCCCGCCGCACUCGCAUGCGCCUGGCAAAGUGCCAGGGUUGAAUAAGUCAGGACAAGAGAUUCAGCGUCCCCAGCGAUGAAAGGACACCGCCGGCGAUGGAAUGAGCUUUCAACAGCCGCGCCAGAGCAGCCCCAGUCCCGUCCCUUACGGCUCCCAAUUAAUGGAACAACUGCUCAAGCACCAGCUGAACAGAAAAAACGUGCGACGACAUCUGCUCUCCAUUUCUUUCUGGUUUGGCGGUACCCAUAAAGAACUCGCGUUUCCCGUGGUACAUCCACAGUGCCUCGCACACAAACCCGGAGCAACCGCGCUGCAACCGCGGCUGGGAACGGAAAGGAACAGAGCUUUGGGGCAGAAAGGAACAGAGCUUUGGGGCAGAAAGGUUACAAUUAUCCCCAUUCAAGAGCGGUUCCUACACCCGACCCUCAGCCGGCGCUACUCACGGAGGAUGCUGCGGGCUCGGGGCUCCGGCGCUGCCGCAGCGGCUCCCGGCUCCGUCCGCCCGCCGGGGCUGCGGGGCUGCCCCCGCCGCCGCUCCCGCCCCUUCCCCCGCCCGG